rnacentral:rRNA from 1 species
CAAUUUCUUAGUACCUUAUCUGGGGGGGUUGAUUUUGACUGGCACUGCCUCCCACCUCGAGGAAGAUCCGGUGGGGUUUUACUUGGGGUUAAGUGUGAAACGUUGGAGGUUCGGAGUGUAGUGUUGGGUGAGUUUGCGGUAAAGUUUCGGGUCAGAACUAAAGCGGAUGGUUUUGAUUGGGCUUUGGUGGCAGUCUAUGGGGCUGCGCAACCAGAACUCAAGCCAGAUUUCUUGGCUGAUUUGGUCCGUGUUUGCGGUAACGAGCAACUACCCGUCUUAGUGGGUGGGGAUUUUAACAUUAUUCGAAGAAAGGAGGAAAAGAAUAAUGACAACUUUGACGGCAGAUGGUCGUUUAUGUUCAAUACUAUCAUAGAAAGCUUGGAUCUCAGAGAG